rnacentral:rRNA from 1 species
GAAGGUACUAGACUAGCCAUGCAUGUCUAGUAUAAAUCCUUUACUUUGAAACUGCGAAUGGCUCAUUAUAUCAGUUAUAGUUUAUUUGAUAGUCCCUUACUACUUGGAUAACCGUAGUAAUUCUAGAGCUAAUACAUGCGUCAAUACCCUUCUGGGGUAGCAUUUAUUAGAUGGAAACCAACCCCUUCGGGGUGAUGUGGUGAAUCAUAAUAAGCUUGCGGAUCGCCUGUGUUUAUGGAUCAUUCAAGUUUCUGCCCUAUCCCCUUUGGACUGUAAAGGAUUGGGUAUUCGCGGAUUUUGGGUUUAACGGGGAACUGGGGAUUAAGUUCUGAUACCGGACCGGAAACCCGGCUACCGGCUACCACGACCGAAGAAGGCGCGAAGAUUACCCAAUCCUCACACCUGGAGGUAGGGAGUAUAAAUAAUAAUGCCGGGCGUUCUGGGUUUGGGAAUUUGGAAGAUAAAAAUUUAAAACCCUAAACCCCUAUUCAUUGGACGGUUAGUCGGGAACCCCGGGGCCCCCGGCCCCCCCCGGGCGCCCCCCGGGCCGGGGGGGGGUCGGUGGGCACCGGAAAUCCCCACUUGUUCAAUCCUCGAAUGGGGAAAGCCGGUGAUACCUGUAUGAUUAGAUUCAUGGAAUGGGUGUUGUUAUUUUAUAAUGAUUAUAAAUAUUUAAUUUUUAUUUUUUUUUUUUUUUUUUUUUUUUUU